GCGAGUAGUGAGGGGAUUUUUGUUGGUGUGGCUAUAUGUCACCUAUUAAUUAUUUGUUGCGUUUAUUAAGCCAAUGAGUAAAAAACGCAAUGGCACAGC
rnacentral:antisense_RNA from 23 species